GGCUAUGAAUUGGUUCUGUUUUCGUUGUAUUUUGUUUCGUCUGAAGUUUAUGAACUGACUUGUCUGAACAAACGAAAACGGUCCAUGCACUGAACUGAAGCCGGCUGCGUUUUUUAUUUUUAUUUCACCGAUAUUUUAGUUUCCAAUAGACUGAGUUAAGUUGUAAAAUUUUGAUUUUUAUUACAGUUUCACGUAUUGAUACUUCAGUUAGAAACCUUUCUUACAAAAUCGCUUGUGCCAAACACCAAAAUUUGUGACGGGGGAAGGGAAUUGUAUAAAAACAAGUGUUUUUGAUGAUAAGGGUGU
rnacentral:lncRNA from 1 species